GGAGGUCAAUUAAAGGGAACUUUGAAAGUUUUCAAGAGAACUUCAUCAGUAGUGAGCUUCUACAAAGUCACAGAAAGAACAGAGAGAUGUACCUACGGCUGGUGUACAUUAGGACGGAGCAAAGUAAACUGUUGAAGAAUCUGGAGAAGGAAAUCCUUAAGAGAAAGAAGUCCAUCUACAAUUCUGUCAGUGAUUCAAUCAAGGACACCAUGCAGUCGACAUAUGAAGAAUGUGUUGGAAUCACUGGAAGAUCUGCUUUCACUGAAAUUCAAGGGAAGCUAAAAAAUAAAAUUGAAUCUUCCAAAAACACCAUGUUCAAAGAGGCCAUGGAAAGGA